GAUGAACGCUGGCGGCGUGCCUAAUACAUGCAAGUCGAGCGAACGGACGAGAAGCUUGCUUCUCUGAUGUUAGCGGCGGACGGGUGAGUAACACGUGGAUAACCUACCUAUAAGACUGGGAUAACUUCGGGAAACCGGAGCUAAUACCGGAUAAUAUUUUGAACCGCAUGGUUCAAAAGUGAAAGACGGUCUUGCUGUCACUUAUAGAUGGAUCCGCGCUGCAUUAGCUAGUUGGUAAGGUAACGGCUUACCAAGGCAACGAUGCAUAGCCGACCUGAGAGGGUGAUCGGCCACACGGGAAGUGAGACACGGUCCAGACUCCUACGGGAGGCAGCAGUAGGGAAUCUUCCGCAAUGGGCGAAAGCCUGACGGAGCAACGCCGCGUGAGUGAUGAAGGUCUUCGGAUCGUAAAACUCUGUUAUUAGGGAAGAACAUAUGUGUAAGUAACUGUGCACAUCUUGACGGUACCUAAUCAGAAAGCCACGGCUAACUACGUG
rnacentral:rRNA from 1 species